UGGCGGACGGGUGAGUAACGCGUGGGUAACCUACCUCAUACAGGGGGAUAACAGUUGGAAACGACCGCUAAUACCGCAUAACCCGCUAGUAUCGCAUGAUACGGACGGAAAAGAUUUAUCGGUAUGAGAUGGACCCGCGUCUGAUUAGCCAGUUGGCAGGGUAACGGCCUACCAAAGCAACGAUCAGUAGCCGGCCUGAGAGGGUGAACGGCCACAUUGGGACUGAGACACGGCCCAAACUCCUACGGAAGGCAGCAG
rnacentral:rRNA from 1 species